rnacentral:lncRNA from 1 species
AUGCAUAUUUCCUUCGCCGCCCAACUAGCUCUCAAGAGACACCUAACCCCCCAUCUAGCUCACCACUCACAAAGUCACCACCCCAUUAACCCAAGUUGCCAACCUCACAGCUCCAUUUCGGCACAACCCAACAACCUAAGCACAACACCCAUUCCCUAGCCUCAAAUUCUUCCACAGCUAAGAAGUCUUUCGCCUUCCUAGGGGGGCAGGACUGAAAUCGGUAAUUAAGCACAGACAGAGAUCUAGGUGAUGUGGGAGGCUGGAUCUUGGGGAAGGGAGGAGCUGUGUACGCUUGUGGUGAAGGAAGACGUUGGAGAGAUUUGGGCCAAUGGAGAGAGAGAUAG